UACGUAGGUGGCAAGCGUUGUCCGGAAUUAUUGGGCGUAAAGAGCUCGUAGGCGGUGUGUCGCGUCGGCCGUGAAAACCUGCAGCUUAACUGUGGGCUUGCGGUCGAUACGGGCAUCACUGGAGUUCGGCAGGGGGAGACUGGAAUUCCUGGUGUAGCGGUGAAAUGCGCAGAUAUCAGGAGGAACACCGGUGGCGAAGGCGGGUCUCUGGGCCGAUACUGACUGAGGAGCGAAAAGCGUGGG
rnacentral:rRNA from 1 species